GUCUUUGAACGCAAGUUGCGCCCGAAGCCGUUUGGCCGAGGGCACGUCUGCCUGGGCGUCACGCACAGUCGCCCCUCCCCCGUCCGGCAUGUCCGGCUGGCGGUGUGGGGCGGAUAAUGGCUUCCCGUUCGCUCGGCCGUGCGGUUUGCCCAAAAAUCGAGUCCCCGGCUCCGUUCGCCGCGGCAUUCGGUGGUCGUCGAAAGCUCGGUGCCCCGUCGCGCGCGUAAGCACCGCAGCCGAAGGAUUCGGACCAAAGACCCUAGUGGCGCAUCUGUGGACACCCCAUCGAGUCGCCUUCGAAGCGACCCCAGGUCAGGCGGGGACACCCGCUGAGUUUAAGCAUAUCAAUAAGCGGAGGAAAAGAAACUUACGAGGAUUCCCUUAGUAACGGCGAGCGAACCGGGAACAGCCC
rnacentral:rRNA from 1 species